GUGCCAGCCGCCGCGGUAAUACCGGCAGCCCGAGUGAUGGCCGAUCUUAUUGGGCCUAAAGCGUCCGUAGCUGGCCGACCAAGUCUCCCGGGAAAUCCACCCGCCCAACGGGUGGGCGUCCGGUAGAAACUGGCCGGCUUGGAACCGGAAGGCUCAGAGAGUACGUCCGGGGUAGGAGUGAAAUCCCGUAAUCCCGGACGGACUACCGAUGGCGAAAGCAUCUCGAGAAAACGGAUCCGACAGUGAGGGACGAAAGCUAGGGUCUCGAACCGGAUUAGAAACCCGUGUAGUCC
rnacentral:rRNA from 1 species